rnacentral:rRNA from 1 species
ACGUAGGCAGCAAGCGUUGUUCGGAAUUACUGGGCGUAAAGAGUGCGUAGGCGGUUUGGCAAGUUUGGUGUGAAAUCUCCCGGCUUAACUGGGAGGGUGCGCCGAAAACUGUCAGGCUAGAGUGUGGGAGAGGAAAGUGGAAUUCCUGGUGUAGCGGUGAAAUGCGUAGAUAUCAGGAGGAACACCUGCGGUGUAGACGGCUUUCUGGACCACUACUGACGCUGAGGCACGAAAGCGUGGGGAGCAAACAGGAUUAGAUACCCUGGUAGUCCACGCCCUAAACGAUGCAGACUUGGUGUUGGCCCUUCAUUGGGUCAGUGCCGAAGCUAACGCGGUAAGUCUGCCGCCUGGGGAGUACGGUCGCAAGGCUG